UACAGAGGUCUCAAGCGUUGUUCGGAUUCAUUGGGCGUAAAGGGUGCGUAGGUGGCGCCGUAAGUCAGGUGUGAAAUUUCGGAGCUUAACUCCGAAACUGCAUUUGAUACUGCGGUGCUUGAGGACUGGAGAGGAGACUGGAAUUUACGGUGUAGCAGUGAAAUGCGCAGAUAUCGGGAGGAACACCAAUGGCGAAGGCAGCUCGCUGGGACGUGACUGACGCUGAGACGCGAAAGCGUGGGGAGCAAACAGG
rnacentral:rRNA from 1 species